AACGAACGCUGGCGGCAGGCUUAACACAUGCAAGUCGAGCGCCUCGCAAGAGGAGCGGCAGACGGGUGAGUAACGCGUGGGAAUGUACCCUUUGCUACGGAAUAGCUCCGGGAAACUGGAAUUAAUACCGUAUGUGCCCUUCGGGGAAAGGAUUUAUCGGCAAAGGAUCAGCCCGCGUUGGAUUAGCUAGUUGGUGGGGUAAGUGGCCUACCAAGGCGACGAUCCAUAGCUGGUCUGAGAGGAUGAUCAGCCACACUGGGACUGAGACACGGCCCAGACUCCUACGGGAGGCAGCAGUGGGGAAGUAUUGGACAAUGGGCGCAAGCCUGAUCCAGCCAUGCCGCGUGAGUGAUGAAGGCCCUAGGGUUGUAAAGACUCCUUCACCGGUGAAGAUAAUGACGGUAACCGGAGAAGAAGCCCCGGCUAACUUCGUG
rnacentral:rRNA from 1 species